AGUCCCAUGACGUUACUUAUUUUCAGUAUUUUGCUUCUCUGUGUUUUUCUUGUUUUGGCGCGCGUUGUAAAAAUUCUUGUCAAGAAAACCGUGUUGCCAAAUUAGAUUUGUAAAUCGGACUUUUUUUUCUUGACUUUUCUUUUCAUGUCCAUAGCUCUGUCUUUUUUUUUCUCUUUUUUCUUUUUUUUAAAUGGGAUCAACUCAGAUUAGACUAAUAGCGGAGUAUGUUCCAAAAGUGAACAAGAUUAAUCCGUUAUCACUGUUUUCCCAGUCCGGCUUUCCCUUAUGACAGAAGUUCAUUGUGGAUUUUUUGCUAUCUUACAAAUAUCUUAUUAUGUGUAUCUUAUUGCAUGUCUUAUUUAUUAAGUUAUUAGCUCCUCCAUUAGCUCCACUACAUAUCUAUUUUUUUGCUAUUUGCGACUUUAUACUACUUUUGCAAAAUAGAAAUUUCAUUUGUUCGAUUCUGAUCAUAUUUUAGAAAAUGCUAAUUGAAGCUAAUUGCAGAGUAAUUUUUCCAGCAUGUACAAUCAAGGAGAAGGCAUGUUUUGUAUUUCAUGAAAAAUUGUUACACCAAAAAUUUGCAAAUGCUUUAUUUUUUGUUGGGAUGGUUAAAGUUAAACAGGUAAAUAAUGGAACCAACAGCUUAAACCUUUUCUCCUUUUAAUUUGCGUGUCAAACAAUGCGCAUGUUGAAAUUUCAGCAAAAAAUAUAUGCAUGCAUGACCUAGUUUAAUCAAACAUCAAAUUUGCAUGAAAGCUGAUUAAAUUGUUAUUCCUCACUAGAUACUAGAUACACACAAUUCAAUCCGACUAUGGAAACUGAGAACUUUUCGACUAUAUUCCUGAUUCAUCAAGUUGAAUGAAAUCGGAGUAAUAGUCGGAAAAUUUUCGCUUAAACAAGCGGAAAAUUAUCGCGUAUUGCCUGGAUCGCAAUUCGCAUUGUUGGGCAUUAUUAAGUCAUUACCAAUCAAAAUCAUGUUCGAUUAUUAUCAAGCAAAAAAUCGCAAUCAUUCAAUCAUCUAUAAAAAAAUUUUAAUCUGCAUGAACCAUCUGAUCUGAAAAAUUUCUGAUUCCAUGCACACGUAUAUAAAAUCUGCUUGCAAUUCUCAAUAUUUUCUACUUCUUUUCGAAUUCUUGAUCUCUCUCUAAAUGGGCUUUUUUUUGUUUUGCUUCUUCUCGAUUAUUCCUAUUAGCUCCAAAAACCUCCGAGUGAAAAUCUAGUGAUUAGUGUAAACUUUAAUGUGUCUGUGAGUGUGUGAUGAUGAUGGGGAAUCCCUGUGCUGGCCAAAAGUCGAACGUCAAAAACGACCUAAUGCGGAAUCCCUCAUGAUAUCGAAUUGAUGUAAACAAGAAACUGGCGGGAGAAUUCGAAAUUCCAGUUUUGCAUGAGUUACUCAAUCUCGCCGAGUUCUAAUUUUAAAGAGCAUCCGAGUGUUUAAGGAAAUAUCUUCCUCGUUCACUACCACCGUCUUUGAUAACAACUUGCCGCAGAAUCUUUUGGCGAGAAAACAUGGACGACAAAUUGUUGUUCGUCAAAGUAAACCACCAGCAAAUGACAGACUGUCAGCUGUCGGCCAUCGCGUCUUUUUUAUUUUUCUCAUCGUUUUGCUGUUGAAAUCAUCAACUCUUCUGAAAUGGCAAUCCCACUGGUGGCGAACGACGAACAUCGAGGUCGCCUGGCACAUGAUAGACGUCGAGCGCAACUUUACCUCGCCAAUGUCUACAGAGUUGCUAAAGCCCCGCUAACGUCAUUUUACGAAAACCUGGUCGCUUCUUUCGCAAGGAUGCGUGCCGAUCGUGAGGUCGUGAGGCUCAGCUGGAGCGAUCGCUUCUCAAUAAGAAACCGCGUAGGAUUUCGUUCAGUCCUGAUCAAAAUAAUACCGAUAACGACAAAUCAAUAGAAGUCCGUUUGAAUGACGGUGCAGUUCCGGCUAAGGUCAUCAACAGGACCAUCUUGAACAACCAAUUCAAUUCAAUCAAACUCUAUAGAUCUUUACCCAAUCGUGUGGUCGAACCUACUCGACAUCUUUUAAAACCUAUUUCAGACAAUAAAAUUGUUUGCAUU
rnacentral:lncRNA from 1 species